UACGUAGGGGGCAAGCGUUGUCCGGAAUUAUUGGGCGUAAAGAGCUCGUAGGCGGUUUGUUGCGUCGGCUGUGAAAUCCCGAGGCUCAACCUCGGGUCUGCAGUCGAUACGAGCAAACUAGAGUGUUGCAGGGGAGACUGGAAUUCCUGGUGUAGCGGUGAAAUGCGCAGAUAUCAGGAGGAACACCGGUGGCGAAGGCGGGUCUCUGGGCAACAACUGACGCUGGAGGAAGCGAAAGCGUGGGGAGCGAACAGG
rnacentral:rRNA from 1 species